rnacentral:rRNA from 1 species
AGGUAGCAUAAUCACUUGUUCUUUAAAUUAGGACUAGUAUCAACGGCAUCACGAGGGUCACGCCGUCUCCUUUCUGUAAUCAGUGAAACUGAUUUCCCUGUGAAGAAGCAGGGAUAAAACCAUAAGACGAGAAGACCCCAUGGAGCUUUGAACUUUCAGCAACUAGAAUACCACAUCCCCUUAUAAUUAUAAACUAUGCUCACUAGUUUUAGGCUGGGGCGGCCACGGAGUAAAUAUCAACCUCCAUGACGAAAAGAACUAAAUCUUACCCGAGAGUCACUUCUCUAAGAAUUAGAACACUAACGUACAUGACCCGACAAACGAUCAACGAACCAAGUUACCCUGGGGAUAACAGCGCAAUCUACUUCAAGAGCCCUUAUCGACAAGUAGGCUUACGACCUCGAUGUUGGAUCAGGGUAUCCUAGUGGUGCAGCCGCUACUAAUGGUUC